AAUGAAAGGCAAGAAAGGUUGAUUCUCAAUUCUUAAUCAUGGGGUUAGUUUUCACUGACCACAUUCUCCGUACACUCCCAAGGGAAAUUUUGUGGCCUUCUGCACCUCUGCUCCGUCCGCUUCCAAGAUUACUUCUAAUUCCCUUAUCAGAAGAGGAUAGUCAGAAUAACGGCCUGCAAUUCUUGUGUCCCAAUAGUCACAACACCCACGAAUAGACCUAAGAGACCAAGAAAUUGUAACGAAGGACUGACUGUAUCCUAUGAAAGCGUAGGUUUAGAUCUGUCUUAAAAGGGAAGGCGGAAGGAAAGGGCAUCCCAAAUAAUAAGCUGUUUCAUUGCACUUUAAGACUGACUGAACAACACCCAUGGUCUCAUGCUUGAGCUUAUCUGCAAAUUCUCUCUCCGAGAAAAUAGCAUUCAAAAAGUAUAGGAGAGGCAUCAAGAGGGGUUGCACUAAAAGGCCUCAGAUAUUACCUACUGCAUUGAGAGAUGGUUUUGGCCUACGGGUUUUUGUGCUCUCCGACUUGCAUACCGACUAUCCAGAGAAUAUGGCAUGGGUGAGGAGUUUUCCCACUAAGAGACACAACAAAGAUGUUCUUCUGGUGGCCGGUGAUGUAGCAGAGAUGUAUGACAAUUUUGUUUUCACCAUGUCUCUCUUGAGGGACAGGUUUGAAUAUGUCUUCUAUGUACCUGGAAACCAUGAUCUUUGGUGUCGUUGGGAGAGAGAUGAUCUUGAUUCUCUUCAGAAGCUGAAUAAAUUGCUUGAUGCAUGUAGACAACUUGGAGUUGAGACCAAUGCAGUGGUUAUAGAUGGCUUGGGAAUUGUUCCUUUGUUUUCUUGGUACCAUGAGAGCUUUGAUAGGGAGGAGGACAUAACUGGGAUUCGAAUUCCGUCUUUGGAUAUGGCUUGUAAGGACUUUCGUGCAUGCAAGUGGCCUGGCAACCUUUCAAACAGGGACAGCUCUCUUGCUUUAUACUUUGAUGCAAUGAAUGAAAACAACCAAGAUACUGUGAAGCAGAUCCAGAGCACUUGUAGCCAAAUAAUAACAUUUUCUCAUUUUGUUCCUAGGCAAGAGCUUUGUCCAGAAAAAAGAAUGCUGUUCUAUCCAAACCUGCCAAAAAUCAUUGGCUCUGAUUGGCUUGAAGAUCGUAUAAGGUCUAUACACGGGAUUGAAGGUAGUUCCUUUGCAUGUCAUGUGUUUGGCCACACACAUUUUUGCUGGGAUGCCAUAGUGGAUGGUAUAAGGUUGCAAAAAAAAUUUGAGGGUCGAUAAGAGUGCUUCGUGCCUCUUUAUUAAAUUUAGAGGUGACAAUCGGACUCGGUAAGCUUCAGGUUCAAAUCGUGUUUCGGAUUACCAGCUCUACAUGAGAAGAGACGUUGAAAGAUCAGAGCCACCAGCAAUAAGUCACUGAGGUAACAUUGGGAUCCAAGAUCCGAAGAAAAGGCGGGGAGGCGAUCAUCAUUGUAAAAUGCGUGUGUUUAAGUGGAGUGCAGAUUUCUGUCCCGAGAAGGAUUCCUUGGUUGUUAACUGUCUCAAAGCUCAUCUUUUUGAUAAAUCGGCACUGCUAGUAAUAGCUAAAUCAAUUGGGAAUCCAUUAUAUAUUGAUGAAUCUACUGCCAAUGGGACGCGUCCAAGCACUGCGAGAAUUUGCACACAGUGUUGACUGUUUACAACCGGUUGUGGAUUCAAUUGGGAAUCCUCCUGCAGAUUUAGAUUGGGGGACAAAUCUAUUCGAAAAAACGAAGCCAAGGAAAGGAAAGGAAAGGCAGUUCGUGUUGAUAACCAGGGAGCUUUUACUGGUCUUCAAACAUCCAACAUACUUACAACAAUCGCGGAAAAAGAAGAAAAUGAGAAGAUGGACGAUGCGAUUGGUUGUGAAAAUCUGCAGACUAAGGAAAAAUAGUAUGGUGGUAAUCAAUAUGCCAUGCCAAAAUCUCCUUGGUGAGCACACGUAAGGUGCAAGAUGAGAACGUGGCUAAAGCACAGAAGCCUAAGCUGUCAAAUGGUGACAAGAAAAAAGACGUGGCUGUUAAAAGCAACACUCACAUGGCAAAUGAUGAGAAAGAUAGCUCCCAGUUUUGUUUGGAGGCUGCUGGCAGUGGUCAAACUAGAAUGGAUGGCUUGCUAUCUCCGAAUAAUGAAGCUAUAGAAUUCGCUCGUGAUGAUGUAGAUGGAGGAGAAAAACAGUCAUAUGACCUAAGCAAUGACGUUACCAAGUCUUCAAGUGAUGAUUGUGGGGACACUUCUAGCACUAUGGCAGAAAACUUUGAAGCAGCCAUGAUUCAGCGGGCUAUAGAAAAAUCCAUGUCUAUCACUGUUAACUUGCAAUGCUUGCAUCCACGUGGACAUGAAGGCAUAUGUAAUCCACUUGAAUUUUGUGUAAAAAUAGGAGUCUUUUACUUAAAACUCUAUGACUCUACCUGUUAUGUUAAGCUGCAUGAAACUGUUUUGUUAAAUGUUUUAUAC